GGGCGGGGCCGCUCCUCGGGCCCUGGGCCCCCGAGGCUCGGCGGCGGUCCCGGGGUCCUCGUAGGUCCCAAGGCCGCCUCUCCUGGGUCUGCUGCGAACUUGCUGUGCUCCUGGAGCCGGAAGGGUUGGGUGGGCCGCGAUGCCCGCGGCUGAUUGGGGAUUUGGUGACGCUAGCGGGGCGUGGGCCUUGGUCUCCGCACCUUUAAAGCCAGGAGUUUGUGCAACGUCGUGACACUAACCAACCCACUUUUAAGAUAAGCCGUAAGGAUGCAUGGAAGGGCUAGUGAGGCCAAUUUCGUUUUUGUAAGGGUGUAUCUUCAAGGCAGAUAGAUUCCACUUCAACUGUGACAGAAGCUCUAGGCCGGUCUGCUGAGCAAAUUCUGCACACACCUUCAGACCACUGGUUUCUUAAAAAAGAAAAGAAAGGUUUUCUCACCUUGCCAGAAGUUGAAGAGAGGCAGAGGCCAUGACUUUUCUUGAAAAAGAAGAAAUCCAACAUCUGGUGCUGUCCAGCCUGACCUUCAGACUGUUGCUGUGGGUUUCU